AUUGAACGCUGGCGGCAGGCCUAACACAUGCAAGUCGAACGAGUGGCGGACGGGUGAGUCAUGUCUGGAAAACUGCCUGAUGGAGGGGGAUAACUACUGGAAACGGUAGCUAAUACCGCAUACCAUCGGAUGUGCCCAGAUGGGAUUAGCUAGUGGGUGGGGUAACGGCUCACCUAGGCGACGAUCCCUAGCUGGUCUGAGAGGAUGACCAGCCACACUGGAACGGAGACACGGUCCAGACUCCUACGGGAGGCAGCAGUGGGGAAUAUUGCACAAUGGGCGCAAGCCUGACGCAGCCAUGCCGCGGGUAUGAAGAAGGCUUUCGGGUUGUAAAGUACUUUCAGCGGGGAGGCGUUACCCGAAGAAGAAGCACCGGCUAACUCCGUGCCAGCAGCCGCGGUAAUAC
rnacentral:rRNA from 1 species